CUUCCUUUCUGGAGCCUGGCUGUUGGCGAGCACUCCCUAGCGGCCCUCUCUGGUACUGCAGAGCUUCCCGGUUGCAGGCUUGAGAGACUCAGGCGAGGAACAGAGAGCUACAGCUGCCUUGGGGGUCUUUUCAGCUACUGACUGACCUAGCUGUUGCCUGGGAACCGGCUUUUCUCCUUUUCUCCUAGGGUCCAGCACAUGGUAUGUGCACAGACAUGUUGUUUGAAUGAAUGAAGAUUUUCCCACCUGGGUCUGCUGCCUCCUUCAUGUUUUACCACCUGGUGUCACUUCAGAUUCUGAAACUAUCUGUGGCUCAUCUACUUAGGGAGGACACUGAUGUGGACAUUGCAGAAUAUCAGCUCCAGUUUGAUAAGGUGGUGCACAAUGAUGAGAGAGAGGACUUUGAGGGUUUUCUUCCUAGGUGCUCAAGUAGCUAAAAAAUAAAUAAAUAAAAAAAUAGAAUACAAUAAAAAACAAGCAGUGGUGGGAAUUACAGAUUAGCUAUAGAAGGAAAGAUUACCAAAUUCCGUUGGGGUGUGGCUGCUAGUGGUCUUUAAAACACUGAAGGCAGGCUUGUCUCAGGUCCCAAGUAUAUUGCAAAUGAGCCAGCACUAAAUAAACCUUGAAACCUGA